rnacentral:ncRNA from 1 species
GUUUUUCAGCGUGCUCUCCAGCGGCUUGAUAUAGAGGCUGUUGUUACGCAGCCGCACGUCACCUUUGGCCGUCGUCAUCUCGCCAUCGAGCGGGAUAUCCAGAUGUAAGCGAGCAUUCACAUCGCCAUCCAGCUGCAGCUGCUGUAGGGUAGCGGCCAGCGACUCUUUCAGCGGCGUAUUCUCAAAGUACGGGCCAACGGCGUUGCCCGGGCCGUUGAUAUCCGCAUCGAUGAGUAAUUUCUCUUUUGAAUAAUCCGGAAUGUUUGCCGUCAGGUUGCUGGCCGUUACGCCGCCCAGCGCAACGCUGUCGGACUUCAUCCACAAUCCGUCAUUCAGGAAGUUGAGUUCGAUAUCCAGAUUUUUCAGCGCGGGCCAGCCCGGCUGGAAGGCAAAGGUGGCAUUGUGCAGCGGCAC